CGCGUAGGUGGUCCUUCAAGUCAGAUGUUAAAUCUCCCGGCUUAACUGGGAGGUGUCAUCUGAUACUGCUGGACUCGAGGGCGGUAGAGGGAGGUGGAAUUCCCGGUGUAGUGGUGAAAUGCGUAGAUAUCGGGAGGAACACCAGUGGCGAAAGCGGCCUCCUAGGCCGUUCCUGACACUGAGGCGCGGAAAGCGUGGGGGAGCGAACAGGAUCAGAUACCCUGGUAGUCCACGCCCUAAACUGUGGAAACUAGGUACAGGGAGUAUCGACCCUUCCUGCGCCGUAGCUAACGCGUUAAGUUUCCCGCCUGGGGACUACGGUCGCAAGACUAAA
rnacentral:rRNA from 1 species